CUAAUGGAGCUCACAUUCUCUCUACAACGUCGCCAUAUAAAUACAGUUCCACCACCUGACAUUGAAGAUUUGAAAAGCAAAUGGCCUUUUCUUUUCACGCCAAGGUAUAUAUACGCACAUUUUGAGUUGCUCACAGACAUCAAUGUGCUUCGUAGCUUGGAACUCAGCAUGGAGGAAUGUGGAACAGCCAUCACAGAAUACUUCAGGGGAAAACCUACCAACAGAAAUGUCAAGGAUAUCCUCUCUAAUGGUGAAGAUAAUGAGAUGGCACUUCGUGUUGUUCAGCUGCUCAUGGCACACUUUGGAGAGGACAUAACUGGGCUGAUCCUUCUUACAGAUGUGUCUGCCACUGCAGCUGACGUUGAGACAACUCUCAGUCUUCCUGCAAUUCCUCGCCUGAUAUUGCCUGUUUCAGGUGCAACAGGGCAAGUCACAAUUAAGGGUUGGAUGAUCACCUUUGAGGGACGUGUAAUCUCUGAGGGCAUCACACCAACUUUGCAAUGGGACUUACUGCUAUGUUUGCAAUCUACUACAUAUUGAACCUUCAGUAUCAAGAAGAGGCAGCCUGCACUCUGGAAUUCAUUCAGAGUGGAAGUACUGGAAUAAUGCUGCACAGAGGAACAGUAACUACCAAAGUGAUGAUCAUCUCUCCUGGAUCAACAACUGAGAUGUAAAAACACAAGCCUACCUCACAGGACAAUUUUAAGAGGUAACCUGCAAGUCUAGCUUGCAGUGGCACAGUAGCCUACCUUACAGUUUCAUCCCUAAAUGUUUUUAUUGAUGCAUAUUAUUGAUUCAUCCUGCUAAA